GUAAACUAUCUAGUCAGCGAGCUUACCUAUGCAUUGUGACGUCAUAAACUUGGCAGCGACGUCAUGUUAGUCCUUCACAAGCCGCGAUGGCUGCUUAUUUUGACACAAUAACACAGACUUUCACAGCGCUUGAGACUUCAUGUAAUAACAGUAUGGUCCUAUGGAUUUCAGUACCAAAACUGAUUUUCUACCGUUUUUCUUCCAAGAAAGUUCUGAACAGCUGAAUCCUGGAUCAGCCUAGAUGUUAUUUCACUGGAUUAUUUAAUGAAUAUUACUCUACUGAGUUACCUGGUUACAUGGAUCAGCUGAGAUGUUAUUUCACUGGAUUAUUUAAUUGGGCAUAUAAUUGGAUAAUUCUGUCCUCAACCUGGAAGAUAUGUUUUAUUCCUAACCAUCUAUAAUCCAUUCUCUAUGAAGUUCAGCCUGUCUGCCCAAAUUCCUUUGGAAAUACAUAGUUAGUCAACCAACAUAGAAACAAUCAAACUUGAAGUCAUCAACAUGGAAGAUAUGGUUUGUUCCUAACCAUCUAUAAUCAAUUCUCUAUGAAGUGAAGCCUGGCUGCUGGUCUUCCUUUGGAAAUACACAGUUAGUCAAUCAACAUAGAAACACACAAACUUGAAGGAUUCUCUAGUGAGGGCUUAUGGAAAUGAUCUAUGUCUACUCUUAGAAUGGUGAAAGACUAUCAGAUUAUGCAAAGACUAACAGAAUAUCCUCUCUUGGAACACUGAAACAAGAAAACCAAACUUAAGAGGAUGGAGGAUUUAAGAAGAACAUAGAUAAAUAUGAUUUCCAACGAAUUUAACCAGUACGAUCAUAGACUGUGGUUAACAGGAUGACAAAGAAAGGACCCAGGAUUGUAUCUUUCACUGUCAGACACUGACUAUGGAUAAAGUGUAAUCAUUUAUCAAACUGAGAUCUAGUCAAAUCAAGUAUUGAAAAUAUGAUUUUCUGAUAGCAUGAGCUCUUUAAAAACUAAUUCUCACGGACCUCAAAGUAUCUGAAUGUGACUUUUAUUUUUACCAAUUCAUAUUGAAGACUGUUGUUAUGUAUGGGAAUUACACAUUUAAACCUUUUAUUUUUCAUCUAAUUUUUACAACCCCCUAGAAAUUACACAGAUAUCCAGAUGCUGGAUUUAAUGUUAUUAUUUAACUUUCCUGGAAUUGUAAAUAUAUUUUGUUUGUGUAUGUAUCAUGUUUAAUUUUGAAUUUAAAAUUGGUCUCAAUAAGACCCCCAAUAAAGAUGCAAGAUUUAAUGUCCCAUAAUCUGUGGUUUAAUAAUAUCUUGAAUAUCUUUAUCAUACCAUAUUCAUCAUACUAAUUACAUAUAGAAUGGUUGUAGGAAUACACUUUGUUGUUUAGGACACUUUGUCAAGGUCAAAGCAUAAGAUUAUUGAGAUGACUUCUUUGACAAUAAUUUGUAACUUACAAACUUCACAUCAUAAGUACACAGAUGAAGAAUCAAUAAGAUAUUUCUAUAGAUUUUUUUUGGAUCAUUUACUCCUGGGUAAAAGUUAGUUACUGAGAUUACUGAUUUGAGUCCUGUAAUGCAGUAACUUUAACAUUUUGUGAUAACUUAUAGACUUUACAAAAAUUAGGUGCAAAUUCUUAGGAAAGGAAUGAAAUGUUAAUUAAAUGUACAAUGUUCAAGGGUGUUUAUAUGUCUAUUACUAUGUAAUACCUAGGGUUUCUGUAAAAAUCCUAUAUUCACUACAUAGAUAAAGACCUGUAUAAUAUAUAUUUUAAACUAUGAUGAAGGAAAAAAAAAAGGUCAAAAGCUCUCCCCUUCAUAUCUUUCAUAUUCUGUCAUACACAACAAUAGAUAAAUUGCAGUCAUAUAACAAACUGAGGUCUAAUCAAAUCCUAGAAUUGAUAUUGUGAUUUUCUGAUAGUAUGAGAUCUUCAAAAAAAAAAAUAAUUCCCAGACUUCAAAGUAUCUAAAUGUGACUUUUAUUUUUACCAAUUCAUAUUGAAGACAGUUGUUAUGUAUGAGAAGUAUACAUUUAAACCUUUUAUUUUUCAUCUUAUUUCUACAACCCCUAACAAAUUACACAGAUGUUUAAAAGCUAGCUUUGGUGUAAUUAUUACUUUCCUGGAACUGUAAAUACAUUUUGUUUGUGUAUGUGUGUGUGUGUGUGUCCUAUUUUGAAUUUAAUAGGUCUCAAUAGGACCCCCAUAAAGAUGUAAGUGUCCCCUGAUCUGUGAUGUAAUAAUAUCUUGAAUAUUUCUAUCAACCAUUAGACUUCAUGCUUACUACACAGAACAGGUUAGAGUAAUACACUUAGUUUUAUAGGACACUUUGUCAGGGUCAAAGCAUGAGAUUAUUGAGAUAACUACCUUUGACAAUAAUUUGUAACCUGCAAAAUUCACAUCAUAAGUAAAGAAAGAUUCGGAGAUUUUCUAUAGAUUUUUGGAUCAUUUUUCUCCUGGGUAAAAUUCAGUUGUUGUAACUUUAACAUUUUGUGAUAACCUAUAGACUUUAUAUCAGCUCUAUUGGGUGGCAUAGCAUAUUCUUUGGAAAGAAUUGAAAUGUAAAUCAUAUGCACUAUGUUCAAGGAUGUUUAAAGACUAUUACUAUGUAAUACCUUAGAAUUCUGUAAAAAUUUUAUUAUCACUGCGUAGAUAAAGACUGGUUGGAAUAAUUUAUGUUUUGAAAUAAGGUUUAGGGAAAAAAGUCAAGAAUGUGGAUAUGACUUUUAUUCAAAUGGUGCAGUACAGCAACUCUGGUGAUUUACAUACCUUCAGUCAUAAAUACAUGUAGAUAGGUAUUGGGAAGACUCCUCUAGAUUUUGAAAUUUUUAAUUCAAAAGUAUAGAA